CACCACAUCAAAUGUGUCUUGUGGAAUCCAUUUUCAAUCAGUAGAGAAAGUGACUGCUAGGUUGCUCUGUUGCCCAAGCCUCAUCCUUCCCAUACAUGCUUCUCUUCUACUGGUGUUCUGGGCCUACAUCACCCACAGGGUCAGUCUUUUGUUUCUUUGCCAGUGAGAAGCACUUUGAGAGAUGGGAGCAGUAGGGAACUCUCCUCUUUUCUUUCCUUGGAUGUCUCACCAUGGAAACAAGUUCUUAAAAACAUCUCAUUUUAUGAUAUAAGAUGAGCACCAUGAAGCAGAAGGAUCUUGGAUUGAAUUCUGGAUCUAUGUCUUCCUAAUAGCAGAACCUUAGAUUAAAUUCUGUCUCACCUGCAAGAAUUAGAGUGAGGAACGCUUUGAAAAUCCGUGUAAGACACUUACCUCAGGACUAAAUCAAUGAGGGGAAGGAAUGGAAAUGCCAAGGUGCUACGUUAGUGGAACCGUUCUGCGACACACUUGUGCUCUCCACACCUGAAAGUGCUUUAAGGAGCACAGGACAAAAUACCUUCUUCUCAUUUCCUUGUGGCAACAAAAAAUAUCCUUUCCUUUAUUUGGGACGAAUUCUUAGACAUGAAAAUACUGCAUAGACUCACUUCUGAAAAAGCUGAAGAUUAGGGAAAAUACCACAAGUAUGGAAUUUGGGACACCACAGACAUACAGGCACUUCUUUUAUGAGCUAAGAUAUAAAGGUUACCUACCAGUCUGCUGUUUUCUGCGUGUUUUUAGUCCAAACAUCUAAGCCUUAUCCAAGAUUUUCAGUAAGUCUAGGAAAAUGCACAUUUCCCCUCAUAGAAGAUAUUAAAAAAUGAGAAAAUUUUUCUUUAACUUCUGAGAACUGUCUCUUCAAAAACAAAUAAGAAAACUAAAGAGUAAGCCAAAAUAUAAGCAUAGGUGUGGAAACAAGACUCUUAGGUUUUUUAUAAUGCAAUUCAAUUUUACUAAUUUCCUUUCCUUUCUCCUAUAGCAAGAUACUAUGAGAUAAUAGUACAGGGGACUGAAUUGUUAGUGGGCAGUGAGUGAUAGUCAUUAUUUCAAAGGUGGUCACUGCUGCUAACGUUUUCUCAUUCCUAUUUAUUAUUGUAUUUAAACAAUAAACAGAAUUCAAUGGUAAAUAAAGUCUCAAGAUAAUUA